rnacentral:rRNA from 1 species
UACGUAGGAUGCAAGCGUUGUCCGGAAUUAUUGGGCGUAAAGAGCUCGUAGGCGGUUUGUCGCGUCUGCUGUGAAAACUCGGGGCUUAACCCCGGGCCUGCAGUGGGUACGGGCAGACUGGAGUGUGGUAGGGGAGACUGGAAUUCCUGGUGUAGCGGUGGAAUGCGCAGAUAUCAGGAGGAACACCGAUGGCGAAGGCAGGUCUCUGGGCCACUACUGACGCUGAGAAGCGAAAGCAUGGGGAGCGAACAGG